rnacentral:pre_miRNA from 1 species
GCGAGAUGUGUCCUGGUAGUGGUGUGGCUGGUUGCUGACCGCAAGUCAGCAACCAGCCACACCACUACCAGGACAACUUUUUGG